GCCUCCUGAAGAGAACUCACUUUCUUGUACCAUCUGAUAUUUGCCCUUUCCAAUUCCCUAUUUCCCUGCUAUAUUUUUCCCUACACUUCUGCUAUUUUCUCAUGAUGUUUUCAUGAGAAAACUUUUUUUUUUUUUUUUUUUGACAACAUUAAAGUUCUUUUUCACGUCAAGGAUCAUCAGAGUUUCCAGGUAUCACUCCUGCUAAAAAUAGGGACAAACUGAUGCUAUGGAAGAGUUGUUAUUUUUUGUAGUCAGCGUGGAUCCAAUUGGGAAGAUUUCUUCAGCUUUGAAGUUCCAGAGUGACUCAUGAGUGUUAAGAUAACAGACAACUCAAAGGACAGGAGGAAUAAACCUGAACAGACAGGACAAGAUGUACAGAAUGAAAUUAAUUGGAAUAAAAUGCAGCACUUCUUUUCUUACAUCACUGCCUCUGUGGGGCUGCUGACACCACUAGACUGGAAGGAUUCUGCUCAGUCACUGAAGCCAACUAAUGGGAUUCUGCCUGCUGAAAUGAAGCAGAACAAAGGUUUUUACUUGUGCUUUGGGUGAAUAUUCAGAGAAAAUAAACAUUCAUCACAGACCUUCAGACUCCAUCUGAUGCAAAUCAACACUUCCUGAAAAAUCAAACGGUCCAAAGCCUUUGACUUCCAGAUAAAUCAGCUCAGAGGCCAGCAGAUGAAUCAACUUACAUGCUCAGAUAAGUUUCUACCCCAAACAAUUUAUAGAGAGCUUAUGAAUAUAUUACUGUUUUCCAUAGUGUAUGGAACUGUUAGAAAUAAUUAACAUGUCUGUCUGAAUUUCUAUUUUUGGUUGCAUAGUGAAUGAAAAAUAGCAGACCUGAUGACAGAAUUACUGAAACAAGUAGGGAACCUAUCUUUCUGUGGUGCCUUGUUGCCUGUUUUGUUUAGUUACCUGGGGUUUAUACUUAGAUUUGACUAGGACGUAUUAAAUACCAGGAGGUAUUUAAAGAGCACCAGAACGGUUGUACAGUUUUGCAAUACUUUUCCAUGUCAAUUAAAACUUGCAACUGACUCUUGGUUUUCUUCCAUUUCUGUCCAAGACACAUCCAUUUUUGAUUGAUUUUGCUAUCUUCCUAAGCAUUCUCUUUUUGAUCUUUCUUUGUAGCUGACUGAAUACUAAUGUUUGAAUUGAUAUUCAUUCAUUACCUUCAUCUACUUGAUAUUGCCUUAUUUUCCUAUGGUUCUGUGAAGGAAUAGGUCCAGCCACACUACUGAUUCUUUCUGGAUAGGAGAGAAAGGUUUUCUAGUGCUUACUUGAGUCGAGCAGCAUUUUUUUUUUCCCACCUGAACAUUCCCAGUAGACCAGUCCACACAUAACCAAUGUGAUACUCAUCCAGUGAUGAGCAAUGUAAGAGAUUACUUCAAGAUGUGAAAUCAUGUUUGUUUAUGUUCUUCAGCUUCACAAAGUUUACAUUCUUUACUACUUUUACACAAAACUUUCUGCAAAAUUUCUAAAGUGUAUAUAAAAAUCCCUGAAAAAAUUCUGGCCUCCAGAAAGCCAGUGAGAGCCACAGAAAUAAAGAGUACUGUUCAC
ensembl:lncRNA